UCAUACAUACAACCAUAUAUCUAUGCCAUCAGUCCAUCAAAAUAAGUGUUUUAUUCAAGCAAGUUCUUAGAGUUAUAGUUGGAUAAGAAAUUACAAAUACAAGCGUAGAUUAGCUAAUAGCUAAUAUUAUUGUUCGAACAGUAGAAAGCUUGAUCAGAAGAAGGAGGUUUUAACUAGCUAGAGUUCAAGAUUUUGCCGAAGCAAGAAUUUUUGCUCUUAGACCUUUGAGAUAGGUCAACAUUGCACUGCGAUCAGGAAAGGUCUCUUUGAUUAUGGGAAUCUCUUUGAACCUUUGAAUCCAUGCAUGUAAGCGAGGGAGGGUUUCGGCUUCAAUCACUUUCACCCCAGCUAUGUCACUCAUGUCAUACAGCCACCAAGCUAGCCACCCGAAUACUAAAUCAGCCAUUCCAAUCUCAUCUCCUCCGAAAAACUUCUUGUCUCCGAGUCCCUGCUCUUCCAAGAUUCUCAGCUGCUCCUGCGUUUCUUCUGUUGCUUUCACUUGUUGUUCUCCCUCAGUUAUGAGGAAACUAUACAGGGCUUGGGUCUUUGUCACACAAAACCUGUAUGUUAGUUCAAGUUGGAUAUAGUUCGGUCUGUUUAUGUUAUAUUGUUAGACCGUGAAUUGUCAACUAGUUAUAUAAACAAACAUGCAUGCAUUGCGACAAUCGAAUCAUUUCACAACAAAACGUAGUAAAAAUAGUUGAGUGAUCAUUCAUUCAUUACCUUGUCCUCUCCGAACUUGGUCCAGAACCGGGCCAAAGCUCGUUGAUGAGGGUCUUUAGGAAGCAAGGGGUUCUGCGGCCAUGUCUCUUCAAUGUACUCAAGAAUGACGUUAGACUCUACGAUUGGUUUUCCGGCAUGAACAAGAACCGGGACCUUCUUAUGGACUGGGUUGUAUUUCAGAAGAAGAUCACUCUUGGUUUGUAACACAUUCUCUUCAACAUACUCGUAGUCUACACCCUUGAGUUUAAGUGCCCAGAUAACCCUGUAAACAUAUGGACUCGACCAAAAUCCUAACAAUGUAACUUGUGCCAUUUUUGCUGGUUCUGUUAUGAUCAUGGAUUGGUUUCUACAUGUACAAUUAUAUGCCUCACAUUCAACUUGUGUAUCUUGAUAAGGUAUAGAGGUAUAUAUAUAGAGGCCAUUUUGUCCUUUGUUUGCUAUUGCUGACUUUUCUUUUUCAGAUGCAAGUUUGCAUACAGAGAUAAAAUAUCUUUAACAAAAACAAAAAAACUUGACAAGCGAGCCAUACUAGACCAUUAAUCUUCCUAAAGUUGACCACAAAUUUUGACUACAAAUUUGACAAGUACAACAACGCCAAUCCAGGUAAUGAAGAGGGAAAGAGACACACAUUGUUUACAGAAAUGGAAGACGUGAUGAAGCUUGUAUUGUAAACAUGACAUGGACAUAUCAUAAAAGUUCUUGUAAUUGGAAUUCCGGAUUAAAUUAUACACAUAUUGGCCGUGUUUGAUUAGCCGGAUAUAAGGCCCAGACACGAUAAAAAUUUACCUAUCUGCUCACAUGUCAUGUUUGGUGAUGCAGAUAUGGUUGAGUCAGAAAAUUUUAUUCCCGUCAGACAUGGAUUAGAAAUCCAUCUAAAAAGGUGUUAUUAAAAUUAUCCGGCUUCAUUUCGACAAACGCCGAAACCACCCACAGCCACAGCUUCUCUUCCACAAAAGCUUCUCUUAUGCAAUCGAAAACGACUGCCUUUGACCGUUUUUAACCGUCGCUGAUCUCGUUUCCAACUUUUUUCAAGUUAAGUUUCCUUCAGAUCUAACUCUUGUUUGUGCCUUCCGAUCUGUAGCUGAUGUUCUGUAUGAGAUUCAAAUUUUGAUGGAGUUUUUUCUCUUUUAUUUGGUAUUAUGAAUUCAAUUAAUGGGUAAUAUGAAUUUUGAAUAAAUUGAGAUAUGUGUCCCGUUGGUUAUAAGAUCUGGGCUCAUGGCAUCAAGUUCUUGUAAAGGUUUCUCUUCUGAUAAGUUAUCUCUCGAUAAUUCUUGUGGCUAUGGUUGAAAUUGGUCACUUCCUGUUGUCUCUACUAAUAUUGGUGUUGGCCAGGUUUGAUGAAAGAAAUUACUCUAACAUGAAUGAAAUUGUAAGACAAAAUUGAGCUGAUUGAUCGAGUAGAUUGCUCCAACAUGAAUGAUAUACGAAUUGGGAAUAUAUGAUGUAAUUAGUAUCUUGUAUGGGGGAGGCUAAGGCUUAGUGAAUUUAUAUGUAAAGAUGGUUCCUGCACCCUCACUAUCAUCAGUCACUUAUGCAUUCGUCCCAUAAAGAAUUUCGAUAGUGAGAAGUGUAGAAGAUCAGUUUAGAGAUCAAUGGCCUCUUUUGCAGGUUUGUUGAUCUUGUUCAAUACUUGGUCAUCUCUUUAUUAUAUGCAAUAUGAGUGUUCUGUAUCUUCUGGUAAACAUUGUUAUUACUUGAUCACUUUGGUUUCGGUUAUGUUUGCUGGCCACCUUGGUGAGCUUAAGUUUGCUGGCCAAUUCGUGGGCCGUUGUCACUGGAUUUGCUUUCAUGGUAAGAUAACUCUCUAUGUACUUGCUCUAUCAUGUUGCUUCAAAUUAAUCUGUAUUUCCUUUCAAAUUUAGUAUGUAGGAAAUUGGAUAGAGCAGUGAUGGAGUGCUAUUCCCUAAUUCAUAUCUGAUAUAGAAGUGUUGGUUAUUAGAUAUGCUUUAGCACCUGAUUUGGGGUACUGUUUUUCAAAUUAUGUUUCCACCCUUCUCACAUUAAGCAUUUUCUUUGUCUUCUGGUAUCCGAGAGUGACUUCAAUUCUUAUGUGAGAAGAAACGUGGAAGGUCUUUCUUGAUUUUAUUCAGAGGACAGAGGUGGCUUACCAUUUUCCUGAUUGUAGUUUAAACAUGAUAUCGAGAUACUUUAGUUAUUUCUUUGCUUUGAUCUUUUAUGUUAAAUGUUUGUUUACGUUGAUCACUUGUAUCUAUAAUAUGAUAGUAAUAAUAAUGAUUGGGGGAAGAGGAAAAUGAUUUGGACAACAGUAGUACUAGAAUUUAUUUCCCAUGAACUUAUAGAUAUUCCUUAUCACAAUAAUGCUAAUGGUGAACUGUAUGGUAAUAUAUAUAUAUAUAUAUAUAUAUAUAUAUAUAUAUAUAUAUAUAUAUAUAUGAACAGCCAAAUCAAAAACGAAAAUGAAUUUACACUAUCAAUUGUGUUUAGGUUGGGUUGACUGGAGCACUUGACACCCUGUGUCGGGAAGGAUUUGCUGCAAAGUCGUACAAAAUGUUGGUCUGCAAGCCUCUUCCAUCAUAUCUUUCCUCUUCUCUAUCAUCAUAUCUGCAGUCUGAUUCUACACCAAGCCCGCCCUUAUCUUACUCCAUAAAGAUCCUCAAAUUUCGAUACCUGCUGCUCUUAUUUGCGUAUGGAUUCUUGAAUAACAUAUUGAGAUUUCUUCAGGCAUCUUUUGUCAUUCCAUUGGUUUUUCUCCUGAAGUCUCGCUACUGAUGAGUACAUUUGUGGUUUACUUUCAUCUAUAGAAAUCAUCAUUUCAUAUAUAAGCAAAUUUUGUUUGAUCUAUUAAUUGUGUCCAAAAUAAUUGUUGUAAAUUUUGUACUGGAUUUAUGAGUGCUUUCAUUUUUAUUUUUAUUUAAUUUGUUAUCAAAAUUUUAUAAGUGGUUGGCAGGAGAAAUGAAAAAAUAAAUUACAGACCAGAAAAAAGAGAAAUAAAAAAAAUAAAUUGAUGAUAAGAAGAUUGUUGAAAAUAAACUGUUUUUGGCUUAUCCAAUCAGCCACGGUUAUCUGGCUGUCCAAACAUUGUAUUGGAUAAGAAAUAGGCAUUCGCAAAUCUAAUCUAGUCAAGGUCUGACAAGAUUAAUUAGAAAUCAUGUCUAGUCCGUGUUACGAAACGCCUCCAAUGUAUCAAAUGGUUAAGUUAGGGAUCUGAAUUGUAUAAUGAUUUUAUACUAAUUGGUUUCUUUUUUGGGAGGAGUCUAAACCUUAGUUGAAUCCUAUAUAAACCUGGUCCCUACACACUCUAUCCACCAGUUGCUAAAAGUCUAGUCCUAGAUAUAGAAUAGAGUGUUGUGUAGAAGAUCGGAGUUUGGAAUAUCAAUGACCUCUAGUUCAGGUUUGUUAAAUUCCCUUAAGAACUCUAGUUAAUGUAUUUGCUUAGUUGUGUUUGUUUUGUUUGAUUCUAUAGUAUCUAUUUAUCUUGUGUGUUGAGUUUCUUGUGAUCAAUGGAUUGGGCUAACACAUAUGACCAAUCAAGUUUAAUUGUUUAAACAAUAUUUGCAGACGAUCCGAGUCAUCCGACUUGUUCUCUCUCUCUCAUAGAAUGGCCAAUGUUCUAUUGUUCUUGAAAAUGUGAUGUAAAUUGAUUCAGUUUCAUACAUACAAACAUAUAUUUAUGCCGUAAGUCCAUCGAUCAAAAAAAGUGCUUUAUUCAAGCAAGUUCUUAGAGUUAUAGUUGGAUAGGAAGAUUUACAGAUACAAGCGUACAUCAGCUUAAUUAAUAGCUAAUAUUAUUGUUCGAAAAGUAGAAAGCUCGAUCAACAGAAGAAGGUUUUAGCUAGCUAGAGUUUAAGAUUUUGCCGAAGCAAGAAGUAUUGCUCUUCCACCUUUGAAAUAGGUCAACAUUGCACUGCGAUCAGGAAGGUGCUCUUUGAUUGUGGGGAUGUCCUUGAACCGUUGAAUCCAGGCAUGCAAGCGAGGGAAGGUUUCGGCUUCAAUCCCCUUCACCCCAGCUAGUUCACUCAUGACAUCCAUCCACCAAGCUAGCCACCCGAAUUCCAAAUCAGCCAUUCCAAGCUCAUCUCCUCCGAAAAACUUCUUGUCUCCGAGUCCCUGCUCUUCCAAGAUUGUCAGCUGCUCUUGCCUUUCUUUUGUUGCUUUCACUUGCUGUUCUCCCUCAGUCAUGAAAAAUCCAAACAGGGCUCCGAACUAUGUGACAUGCACAAAACAUCUACAUUACUUCGACUUGAAUAUAAUGCGCGCGAUCUUUUAUUUAUGUUAUGUCGUUAGACCGUCAGUUGUCAACUCGUUAUAUAAACAAACAUGCAUACUUGCAUGCGACUACAAACUACUCAUUUCAUCAUGUAACGUAAUUGAAAUAGUAGUGAUCAUCAAUUACCUUGUCCUCUCCGAACUUUAUCCAGAACCGGGCCAAAGCUCGUUGAUGAGGGUCUUUAGGAAGCAAGGGGUUCUGCGGCCAUGUCUCUUCGAUGUACUCAAGUAUUACAGCAGACUCUGCGAUUGGUUUUCCGGCAUGAACAAGAACGGGAACCUUCUUAUGGACUGGGUUGUACUUCAGAAGACGAUCACUCUUGUUGUGUAACACAUCCUCUUCAACAUACUCGUAGUCUACACCCUUGAGUUUAAGUGCCCAGAUAACCCUGUAAACAUAUGGACUCGACCAAGCUCCUAACACUGUAACUUGUGACAUUUUUGCUGGUUCUGUUAUGAUCCUAGACUGGUUUCUACAUGACUAUAUAUGCCUCGCAUUCAAUUUGGUUACCUUGUGCUUCAAUUAAUCUACAUGGUCGGGAAGGAUUAGAGGCCAAUUUGUCCUUCUUUUGCUAUUGUUUACUCUACUUUUAAAUAUGUAGUUGGUAUAAAAGAGAUAAGAUAUCAUUUUCGCCAAGUUUCUCUUUUAUUUGAGGACCAUAUUUCUCUGGAAAAUACAAAAGACUUGUCAAGCAAGUCAUACUAGACCCUUAAUCUUCCUAAAGUUGACCAGAGUUUGGACUACAUACUUAUAAAAUACAACGAACCCAAUCCUUACGUUGAGGGCAGCUGUUGGUUGUUGUGAAAAGGGAAAGAGACACAUUGUUUACAUAAAUGUAAGAAGUGAUGAAGCUGCUAGGAUUAGGAAUAUGGCUUCUAGUCUCUUACGUUACAAGAGUCAGUGGAUCUAGAAACUUGUUAACAAAGAUCAAAGUCUCUUCCUUUAAACUAUAAUAUAAGGAUUAAAAUCUCUGUGAUAUAUUUGAUAUAUCCUCCGAUAUCUCUAUUUUUUUAAGGACCGAUAUAUCUAGAGUGGUAAAUAUAUUAUCUUCCACUGUAUCUUCCAUAUAUCUAGAGGUGUUGUUCUUAGCGAUUUUAUCAAAGACCACUUUGGGUUUCUUGUUGAUUUUUUAAAUCCUAACCCUUAAACCCUAUACCCUAAACCUAUACCCUAACUAUAUAUAUAUCCUAUACCCUAACUAUAUAUCCUAUAUCCUGUACCCUAAACCCUGUACCCUAAACCCUAGGCCAAACUCAUUAAAAACCCAAGACGGUAAUUUCACAAAACAUAGAAAAACUUAGUUUAUAUUUUAGUUGUAAUAAAUUUACGUGUCAAAAUUUAAUUGACAAGAGAGGACCACGUCAGACUGCCACUUGGUCCUUUGGGAGCAUUUAAAAAUUUCUCCUAAUUGAGUUGAUUGGUUGAGGUGAUUGAUCAAAAGUAUAAAUGAUAUACAAAUCAAGGAUAUAUGUGAUUCUAUAUUAAUUGGUUUCCUUUAUGGGAGGAUUCCAUACUAAUUAGUUGAAUCCUAUAUAAACCUGGUCCCUAUACAGUCUAUCCACCAGUUGCUAAAAGUCUAGUCCUAGAUAUAGAAUAGAGUGUUGUGUACAAGAUCGGAGUUUGGAAUAUCAAUGGCUUCUAAUUCAGGUUUGUUAAUUGAAUUCCCUUAAGAACUCUAGUUAGUGUAUUUGCUUAGUUGUGUUUGUUUUGUUUGAUUCUAUAGUAUUUAUUUAUCUUGUGUGUUGAGUUUCUUGUGAUCAAUGGAUCGAGGCUAACACAUCUGACCAAUCAAGUUUAAUUGUUUAAACAAUAUUUGAAGACGAUCCAAGUCAUCCGACUCUCUCUCUCUCUNNNNNNNNNNNNNNNNNNNNUCUCUCUCUCUCUCUCUCUCNCUCUCUUCUCUCUCUCUCUCUCUCUCUCUCUCUCUCUCUCUCUCUCUCUCUCUCUCUCAUAGAAUGGCCAAUGUUCUAUUGUUCUUGAAAAUGUGAUGUAAAUUGAUUCAGUUUCAUACAUACAAACAUAUAUUUAUGCCAUAAGUCCAUCGAUCAAAAAAAGUGUUUUAUUCAAGCAAGUUCUUAGAGUUAUAGUUGGAUAGGAAGAUUACAGAUACAAGCGUACAUCAGCUUAAUUAAUAGCUAAUAUUAUUGUUCGAAAAGUAGAAAGCUCGAUCAACAGAAGGAGGUUGUAGCUAGCUAUAGUUUAAGGUUUUGCAGAAGCAAGAAAUAUUGCUCUUCGACCUUUGAAAUAGGUCAACAUUGCACUGCGAUCAGGAAGGGGCUCUUUGAUUGUGGGGAUGUCCUUGAACCGUUGAAUCCAGGCAUGCAAGCGAGGGAAGGUUUCGGCUUCAAUCCCCUUAACCCCAGCUAGUUCACUAAUGACAUCCAUCCACCAAGCUAGCCACCCGAAUUCCAAAUCAGCCAUUCCAAUCUCGUCACCACCGAAAAACUUCUUGUCUCCGAGGCCCUGCUCUUCCAAGAUUCUCAGCUGCUCUUGCCUUUCUUUUGUUGCUUUCACUUGCUGUUCUCCCUCAGUCAUGAAAAAUCCAAACAGGGCUCCUAACUAUGUGACAUGCACAAAAUAUCUACAUUACUUCGAUUUGAAUAAAAUGCGCGCGAUCUUUUAUUUAUGUUUUGUCGCUAGACCGUCAGUUGUCAACUCGUUAUAUAAACAAACAUGCAUACUUGCAUGCGACUACAGACUACUCAUUUCAUCAUGUAACGUAAUUGAAAUAGUACGUUGAGUGAUCAUCAAUUACCUUGUCCUCUCCGAACUUUGUCCAGAACCGCGCCAAAGCUCGUUGAUGGGGGUCCUUAGGAAGCAAGGGGUUCUGCGGCCAUGUUUCUUCGAUGUACUCAAGUAUGACAGCAGACUCUGCGAUUGGUUUUCCGGCAUGAACAAGAACGGGAACCUUCUUAUGGACUGGGUUGUACUUCAGAAGACGGUCACUCUUGUUGUGUAACACAUCCUCCUCUACAUACUCAUAGUCUACACCCUUGAGUUUAAGCGCCCAGAUAACCCUGUAAACAAAUGGACUAGGCCAGAAUCCUAACACUGUAACUUGUGACAUUUUUGCUGGUUCCGUUAUGAUCCUAGACUGGUUUCUACAUGUAUAUAUAUGCCUCGCAUUCAACUUGGUUAUCUUGUGCUUCAAUUAAUCUACAUGGUCGGGAAGGAUUAGAGGCCAAUUUGUCCUUCUUUCGCUAUUGGUUACUCUACUUUAAAUAUGUGGUUGGUAUAAAAGAGAUAAGAUAUCGUUUUAAAUACAAAAGACUUGUCAAGCAAGUCAUACUAGACCAUUCAUCUUCCUAAAGUUGACAAGAGUUUAGACUACAUAUAAAAUACAACGAAGCCAAUCCUUACGUUGAGGGCAGCUGUUGGUUGUGAAAAGGGAAAGAGACACAUUGCUUACAGAAAUGUAAGAAGUGAUGAAGCUGCUAGGAUUACAAGAGUCACUGGAUCUAGAAACUAGGGGUCAAGUAUAUGUGAAUCGAAAGAGAAACUUGUUUAGAAGAUCAAAGUCUUCCUGUAAAGUAUAACAUGCUUCGCAAGAAGAUUUUGGUGCUCGUUCGAGGAGCUUAAUUGCUCACUAAAUCCAGAGCUAUACUAAUGAUCAUAUAAUAUCCUCCACCAAAUGAGGGAUGUAAAAACUAUUCUUGUGUUUAAAAAUACUAGCAUCUUACUCCUGCAUUUACACAAGGGAACUCACAAAAUCACUAUAAAUGGUUAAUUUUGGUUUGUAGGCUUGGUUUUUGACGUUGGAAUUACAUACUGCUACCUUAAAUAGUUGCAUAAUACACAAAACCUAUAUUUUAAAAUAUUUAAACAAAUAAUGCCAGAAGCCCAAGCUCGUAAAGAAUAGUAUCAGGCUUGAUCUGUAACGUUGAUGUGAAAAUGACUGAAAACCCGUGUUUUAUGAAAUAACUACAACAUUGACAUUGACAGAAACCAAAACCGUUCUCUCUCUCUCUCUGAUCCCUAAAAUCGUCGAUAUCUUUCUCACCAUUCCAAAACCAAGUGCUAUUGUUUGGUCACAAUAUUUCCAAAACCAUGUUGUAUCAUCACAAUAUUACUCCUUACAAGACCAAACAAGAGGAGCUGAACCAAGUUGAAGCAAGGAAUCGAGUCAAUCGGGUCACGGAUUGAGUGGCAGCGAAUCGGGUUGGCUGGGUUUGGGAUUAGAGAUUGAGUAGUAGUGGUAGUGAUUCGAUUUGGGAAUUUGUAAUUUAGAUCUCAACAGACCUUAUAAUCAGAAACAGAGAAGUAUGUAAAUGGCGAGGAGCUUGACGACUUAGAAAGGGGUGGUGGUAGAGUAGUCGGUCUCGUUGAUGAUGAGUUUGUAGCUUUUGAGGGUUAUGUUCAGAUCUUACUGCUACUGAUGCCAUGACGAUCAUGUCAUGCUGCUACUGUUGUAGAUUUCAGGUUUUGCUGCUACUGCUGCCAUGACUAUUAGGUUAUGUUGCUACUGUUGUAGAUUUUACUACUACUGCUACUUAUGGUCAGGUCUUGCUGCUACUGUUGUCGGUGUUUAAUUUGGGUUUCUUAUUGAAUUUGAAGUUGCAGAUGAAUAUGAUGUGGGUUGCUUAAAAAUCUGAAACUAGUGGACGAGAGAUUUGACUUGGGUGAUUUGUCAAGGUUUGUGUUAGUAACGUGAAAGUUGAUAAGUCUUAGAGCAAGUCCACCGGUGACAAAAAAAAUCCGACCCAGGUUGGAUCACAUAGACAAAGUGACACAGCCUAAAAAUAGUUGCUUCCACCCAUGAAAAUUUUGGGGCGAGUAUUGUAACCCAGGUGAGUUUGGGUUAAAUUUUAUGCGAGUAUAGUAACCCAAAAUCUAACCCAGGCUAAUUAAUUCCUCAACCGCCACAUCAGCAAAAGAGCCCAACGUGGCUGACGUUAGACAGGGCCAUUCUCUUUCUCUCUCUACUUCUUUACUCGCCAGUGGCUCGUGUGAAGAGCAGUGGCUCAUAUAUAUAUAUGCCGCAUGACCACGUGAGGAGCACUGCUCAUGGAGAAGACAUACAAUGUAGCUGGGACCCAUUAGAUAUUAUUAAAUGUAAAAAUGUAAAAAUAUCAAGUAAAACCAUUAAUUACAAAAAAAAAAAAAUACGUAAAAACUAGGGUUACAUCAAUUAGAAAAAAAAAAAUUCUAUAAGAUGUAAACUACAGGAAAACUAUAUAAACUGUUAUGAAAAAUUCCCUAGCGUUUAUAAAUAAUUUCUUAUAUCCCUAGCUAACCAAUUUAGAUUGUGUAUUUUUUUUAUUAUGUUUGUGUUUUCAUCCUUACAAAAUUUCAAAUAAUUGUAAACUUUUUUAGGCUUGGCUUGUCAAUUAAAUGUCAAGAAAUAAAAAAAAUUCAAUAAGUCAUAUUUUUUUAUGUAAUUACUAUUUAUUUACAACUAAAAUAAUUAUUCACACUUAAAAACGUUUUUUUAAAAUUCAAUAAACAGUCACUGUCACGUGUCAGCAAUCCCACAUUUUAAACGGGUGGAAACUGCUGCCCAAUCAUAGUGACUCAGAGUGACCCAGGUCACUGUGUUCAAUAUAACUCAACGGGUGAACUUGCUUUUAGUAGCUUAUAGUUGUUGAAAAAUAUAUACAACUAACAGAGCAAUAGCUUAGCUAAAUAAGAGUAGUAGUAAGUUUUUACUUGUAUCAUGAGAUGUGAGCAUAAAAACUAGCAUAGAAGAAGCACAACUAAUAUUCAUCUCAUCUACCUUUUCAUAGUAGCAUAGUAACAUUCAGUAAUAGUAGUAGCAACACAAUAACAUUCGGUAACAACAGUAUCAGAAACAUUUCAAUCGACAAUAACAACAACAAUAUUCCAGUAGACAAUAACAAGAACAUUGCAAUAAACAGUAGCAUCAACAUUCUAACAAGUGUAGUAGCAUCUAAAGCAAGACAUGAUGUGGUCUGAUUUAAUUUGAUUUUUAUUAGAAAAGACAAAAAGGACAAGAUUUAAUCUUUAAACAUAAAUUUGAUAGUUGAAACAUGAGUCACAUAUUUUAUCAAGUGUUUCAGAGAUCAACAGAAGAGAUUUCUUUACUCAUAUGACCAAUUAAUUUAAACUAUAUUUUAGACAAUUCGACUUGUUUUAAGUUAUUUAUCUCUCUCUCUCUCUCUCAUCUUGAAGGAAUGGCCAAUUAAUGUUCUUGAAAAUUUGAUGUAUAUUGAAUAAUUGAUUCUGUUUCAAACAUAUAUCUAUGCCAUAAGUCCAUAAAAAUAAGUGUUUUAUUUAAUCAAGUUCUUCGAGUUAUAGUUGGAUAAGAAAAUUAAAGAUACAAGCGUACAUCAGCUAAUAGAUAAUAUAAUUGUUCGAAAAGUAGAAAGCAAGCAGGAGAUUUUAGCUAUAGCUAGAGUUUAAGAUUUUGCCAAAGCAAGAAAUGUUGCUCUUCGACCUUUGAAAUAGGUCAACAUUGCACUGCGAUCAGGAAGGGGCUCUUUGAUUGCAGAGAUGUCCUUGAACCUUUGAAUCCAGGCAUGCAAGCGAGGGAAGCUUUCGGCAUCAAUCACUUUAACUCCAGCUAUUUCACUCAUGACAUCCAGCCACCAAGCUAGCCACCCGAAUUCUAAAUCAGCCAUUCCAAUCUCAUCUCCUCCAAAAAACUUUUUUUCGCCGAGUCCCUGCUCUUCCAGGAUUCGCAGCUGCUCCUGUCCUUCUUUCGUUGCUUUCUCUUGUUGUUCUCCCUCAGUCAUGAAAAAUCCAAACAGGGCUGCGCUCUAUGUCACAUAAUACAUCUACAUUAGUUAAAGUCGUGUAAAAUUUGAUCUUUCAUGUUAUAUUGUUAGACGGUCAAGUAUUCAAGUGUCAAACUGUAGCUAAUUAGAGAAACAUAUACACGCGAUAAAUAGUUCAUGUUUGAUUAGUCGUGGUCUAUUGGUUUAUUAUUGGUUUAUUAGUCUAACAAACCGUAACAUAUGGUUGGUGAAGGUAAGGAAUUUUAAUAAAAUUUGAAAAAAUUAAAAAAUGCGACAAAUGAUUCAUUUGGCUAUAUAACGUAGUGAAAAUAGUCGAGUGACCAUUAAUUACCUUGUCCUCUCCGAACUUUAUCCAGAACCGGGCCAAAGCUCGUUGAUGAGGGUCUUUAGGAAGCAAGGGGUUCUGCGGCCAUGUCUCUUCGAUGUACUCAAGUAUUACAGCAGACUCUGCGAUUGGUUUUCCGGCAUGAACAAGAACCGGAACCUUCUUAUGGACUGGGUUGUACUUCAGAAGACGAUCACUCUUGUUGUGUAACACAUCCUCUUCAACAUACUCGUAGUCUACACCCUUGAGUUUAAGUGCCCAGAUAACCCUGUAAACAUAUGGACUAGGCCAAGCUCCUAACACUGUAACUUGUGACAUUUUUGCUGGUUCUGUUAUGAUCCUAGACUGGUUUCUACAUGUCUAUAUAUAUGCCUCGAUCCAACUGGGUUAUCUUGGGCAUCAAUCUACAUGAUUUCGAAGGACUAGAGGCCAAUUUGUCCUUUGUUUGCUAUAGUUGACUACUUUUUCAUAUGAAGUUGGCAUAAGAGAUGAGAAAAACAAGACUUGCCAAGCAAGUCAUACUAGACCAUUAAUCUUCCUAAAGUUGACCAGAAGUUUGGACUACAUACUUAUAAAAUACAACGAACCCAAUCCUUACGUUGAGGGCAGCUGUUGGUUGUUGUGAAAAGGGAAAGAGACGCAUUGCUUAAGAAAUGGAAGAACUGAAGAAGUGAUGAAGCUGCUAGGAUUAGGAACAUGGCUUCUAGUCUCUUACGUUCCAAGAGUCAUUGGAUCUAGAAACCAGGGGUUAGGUAUAUGUGAAUCGAAAGAUAACCUUGUUACAAGAUCAAAGUCUCUUCCUUUAAAGUAUAACAUGCUUCAUAAGAAGAUUUUGGUGCUCAUUCGAGGAGCUUAAUUGCUCACUAAAUCCAGAGCUAUACUAAUGAUCAUAUAAUAUCCUCCACUAAAUGAGGGAUGUAACAGCUAUUCUUGUGUUUAAAAAUACUAGCAUCUUACUCGUGCAUUUAUAUUUUGUGAGUUUUUCCCUUACAUUUUUUUUAAUGACCUCUUAAAUAAAUAAAAUAAAAUAUAACGUUGAAAUUUAUUAUGAAUGUAGUUAUCAAUUUUAACCUCCCACUACCCACGUGUUGGGAGAUUGGCCUCGUUUUGUUAUAGUGUUGUGUUGGGAGCAAAAAUGUCAAUCUUAACUUUCCUGUAAACAAAUGGACUUAGGCCAAGCUCCCAACACUGUAACUUGUGUCAUUUUUGCUGGUUCCGUUAUGAUCCUAGACUGGUUUCUACAUGUAUAUAUAUGCCUCGCAUUCAACUUGGUUAUCUUGUGCUUCAAUCUGCUUGGUUUGGAAGGAUUAGAGGCCAAUUUGUCCUUUGUUUGCUAUUUUUUUUGUUCCGAUGAAUCCUGCCUUUGCUAUUGUUGACUCAACUUUUCAUAUUUAGUGGGUAUACAGAGAUAAAAUAUCGGUUUGCGCACCAAAUUUCGCUAUAUUCGAAGAUCGUGUUUCUCUAAACCAAAAAAAAAAAAACCUUGUCAAACAAGUCAUACUAGACCAUUAUCUUCCUAAAGUUGACAAGAAAUUUUGACUACAUAUCUAUAAAAUACAGCAGAUGUUGAAGAGGGAAAGAGACACGCAUCGGUUACAGAAAUGGAAGAAGGGAUGAAGAAGCUAGGAACAUGGCCUAGUCCCUUUCGUUACAAGAGUCAUGGGAUCUAAAACUAGGUGUUAAGUAAUGAAUAUGUGAAAGAGAACUUUGUUAACAAAAUCACUCUUCCUUUUAAGUAUAACCUGCUUCAUAAGAAGAUUCUGAUGCACAUUAGAGGAGCUUAAUUUCCCUUAAAUCCAGAGACUUUGAAAUGAUCAUAUAGUUCUUCUAGUAUGCUCCACCAAAUGAAGGAUGUAACAGCUAUAUAUCCUUGUGUUUAAACAUAUAGAUUUGAGCUACUAUCUUUAUUCAAAACCAGUUCCAUGUAUACAACAGAACCAAUUGUAAGAGGUUUCUGAAAAUUAAAGGCAAAGAAUAAAUUCAAAGCCAAAAGCUGGGAAAGUUACUUGGCAGGUAGUGUAAGUGUAUGCUAUAGUUACAAAGGCUCAGAUUGUACCUUGAGACAUAAUUUGCUAAAAGAGGAGGGAAGUUUGUACAGGACAUCUUCGCAUCUCAGAUGUAAAGCCUUUGCACAUGAAUAUGCAUGAAGCAAUGAACUGUUUCUAAAAAAACUUCCUUAAUUUGAAUCAUAGAACAUCAAAGAAUGACAAAAGACUGGCACAGAAACAGGAGAUUGUACGUGGGAUCGUCAAACAGACAAUAUUAAACCAAGAUAAACCUUAGAACUCCUACUCCUGGUUGAACAAGAAUUAAGUCACUAGUCCCCCAAGAGGAACAUAGAUUCUGGUGAAUACAUUGAGGUGUGCCAUAGAAUACCUCUGCUUUUGGGAUGACCCUUAUGAAGGCAAGGUAAAAUUAUGUCAUGUUGUAAUUUGACUAAUUUCUGUAAUAAUCUUAUUCUGUGUUUUAUCAUAAUAGGAUCUGAAAGUUUACUCUUUGAUGGAUGUACAGGGGGGAACACAAUGGAGGUUGUACAGGUACAGUUUCUUGCAUUGAUGGCUUCUUGCAUCACAUAAUUUCUUACCAAAACAUUCCUAGUUAAAAUGGAGUGGAGGCUUGGAAUCAACUCCAUGUAAGAACUUACAUCAAUCAGUGGACAUGCAAAAAACACUAAUAUGCAUUACAAAGAACUUCUCUUAUUCAGUCACAACUGUAAUCGAUUGAUUGAAACUAUUAACUGAUAUCAUUCCUUGCUUCUUGCUUAUUGGUUAUGUUACAACCUUUAUUCUUAUAUGCUAAAUGUGCUGUGUUGUUUGAAAUUAAGACUAGGAUAUCAACUAGUUGCUGGCUUGAUAAACUUCUCCCUCAGCUGUUUGAAAUAGGCUACCAGCCGAGUUUUGUCAGGGUGAUUUUCUUUGAUCACAGGAACUUCCUUGAAAUUUCUAAUCCAUGCGUGCAAGCGAGGGAAGUUAUCGGCUUCCAGAACUUGUACACCAGCUGCUUCUUCCAUGGCCUCAAGCCAGAAUGCUAGCAAUCCCAUGGAUAAGUCUGUCAUUUCAAUCUUGUCACCAUUAAAGAACUUCUUCUCAUCAUCAAGGCCGUGCUCUUCUAAGAUCUUCAGACACUCCUGGGCUUCUUUCACAGCUUUUGUUUGCUCUUCUCCAGCUCUUUUAUAGAAUCCGUAAAUGUUCGGCAUCUAAAUUGCACAAAAUAGCAGAUCAGUUAAGGGUCAACAUUCUACUUGUGUUGAACUGUUGAUAGAAAAUCUCAAGAAAGAAAAUACAGGUAUGAUUACCUUGUCAUCUCCAAACUUUGUCCAGAAUCUAGCGAUGGCCCUUGCAUGAGGGUCUGUUGGAAGCAGAGGAUUCUGCAGCCAUGUCUCUUCAAUGUACUCCAGAAUGACAGUCGACUCAGCAAUCAGCUUUCCACCAUGAACAACUACUGGAACCUUCUUGUGCACUGGGUUGUAUUGAAGAAGCAAAUCACUCUUGUUGAAUAUGUCCUCUUCUUGAUAUUCAUAUUCAACUCCCUUGAGUUUCAGAGCCCAUGUGACCCUGUAAACAUAUGGACUUGCCCAGAAUCCUAUUACCUUCACUUCCUCCAUAUUACUCUAGUUUCUGCUCAUCUUAGUCUCUACCACAUAUUAUAUAGUAUUAUAGUUGAAGCCUUAAUAUCUAUGUAAUUCUAUUCUCCACGCCAUCGUUAUUCAGCAGAUAAGAUUAGGUGAGGAAAAUAUUGUUAUAUAUCGUCUUGUCUGACCCAUUAAUUCUAAUAAAAUUGAUACUUGAAACUUGACUCACAUAUUUUAUGAAGUGCUUCAGAGAUCAACAUAAAGAGAUUUCUUUACUCGUAUGACUAAUCAAGUUUAAACAAUAGUUCAGACAAUCCGACUUGUUUAAGUUUAGAGUAAAAUAUUGUAUAGUCUUUCUGGUUGAAGUCAACAUCUAUUUAGUCCUUAUAGUUUUAUUUUAAUCUGAAUAGUCCUUAAAAUCACAAUUUUUCAUCUAAAUAGUCUUUAUGGUUUUAUUUUACUCUGAAUAGUCCUUAAAGUCAUGAUUUUUCCUCCAAAUAGUCAUUUUAGGUAGCCUAACUGACAACGUUGAGGUCAUGGGUUCAAACCUCGCUGACAUAUGUAAGGGUGUGUGAGUUAUUUAAUAAAAAGUUUUAUUUAAUAAAAAAAAAAGGAAACUAUUCAGAUUAAAAUAAAACCACAAGGACUAAACAGAUGUCAACUUCAAACCACAAGGCCUAAACAAAUUUUAAUUCUUAAAUUUAUCUCUCUCCUUGAAGGAAUGGCCAAUGUUCUUGAAAAUUGGAUGUAAAUUGAGUUGUUGAUUCUGUUUCAUACAUACAACCAUAUAUCUAUGCCAUAUGUUCAUCAAAAUAAGUGUUUUAUUCAAGCCAGUUCUUAGAGUUAUAGUUGGAUAAGAAAUUACAAAUACAAGCGUAGAUUAGCUAAUAGCUAAUAUUAUUGUUCGAACAGUAGAAAGCUUGAUCAGAAGAAGGAGGUUUUAGCUAGCUAGUAGUUUUUUUUUUUUUUUUUUUCGUUUGAAUGAUCGAGGAUAGACGAAUAAAUUGCCUAUCACUCUAUUUUAUUAAUAAAGGAAAAAAGAAACAAAGGAGGAGAAUGAAAACCAAAACCUCCCAAAACAAAUUACAGACUAGCUGAAACGAAAUUGAAGCAUACCUCUAACAUCAUUAUUAUAAGACAAUAAUAUGAAAGGUGGAGGCUCAUCCCGCCAUAUCAAUUCAGAACAUGACGUAUCUUGAUUUGCCAGAGCAUCAGCUAUUUUAUUUCUUUCAUGAAAAAUAUGAGUAGCCUUGAAAUUCAUCUGAGAGAUUCGGUAUAAGCAAUUCAACCAUCGAAUUCGAAGAGGCCAAGGAACAAGAGAAAGUCUGCGAAUAUAAUCAAGUACCAAAGAUGAGUCAACUUCCAACCAAAUAUGUUUCCAAUCAUGAACCUAAACAAGCUCAAUAGCUUUAAUAACAGUCAUUAUCUCUGCUGAAAUUGAACUAGGAAUUUCAAGAUUUGAGGCAAAAGCACUAAGAAAGUGGCCCUUGUAAUCCCUAAAAAUAAUACCAUAACCACCCACUCCCUUCUCAUGCUUCCAAGAGCCAUCAGAAUUUAUCUUCACCCAACCAAAAGAAGGAGGAAGCCAAUUAACUUCAACAACUCUAGGAGUGGCACAAGGACGACAUGGGGCUCCAAAACAUUUCAAAAUUCGUAGCUCCUCGACACUAUUAUGCAUAUGACCUGUUGUAAGAUCACUAGUGGCUCUUAUAUGACCUGAUAUUAGCCUACAAACAGCUUCAAUUGAAAAGCGACAACCAUCAAAUCUGGUUUUAUUUCUUACAUGCCAAACAAACCACAAAAUGGAGGUAAAGCAAAUAAGCCAUAGUUCCAUUAAUUGAGGACUUCUUCCAUUUUGCAAACCCAACCUAUAAAGCUCCAAAAUAGAAGAAGGAAUCAUACCCAACUCAAAAAGGGAGCCAAAGUGACUCCAAAUUGAUGCAGUGAACGAGCAACAGAGGAAAGUAUGAUUCAUACCCAAAAUAGAAGAAGGAAUCAUACCCAACUCAAAAAGGGAGCCAAAGUGACUCCAAAUUGAUGCAGUGAACAAGCAAGAGAGGAAAGUAUGAUCCAAAGUCUCAAAGCAAGCACCAUAAAGCUCACAUCUAGAAACCCAAGCUAUACCUCGACGCUGAAGUAAAUCAUCACAAAUAACUCUACCUCUUAACACCUUCCAUGCCAGGAAAGACAUUCUUGGCAGAAUAUAUUAGCUCAUAAUCUCUUACCCCAAAUUACUGGAUUAGAAGAAGGCUGCAUAAAAGUAUAGGCUUGUUUAGCGGUUAACUCACUGAAGGCUAAAGAGGUCCAUAUAAGUUUGUCAUUAACUUAAGGAUCUUCUAACACAGGGACUUGAUUGAUCAUAUCACAUAAGGCUGGGUAGUGCAACUGUAGUAAUGGAGGAAGAUUUCAUGAGCCAUUGUCUAUAUAUUUCGACACCAAAUCUGAGUUAUCCUGCAUCAACACAUUAGAACCAAAGAACUCAUUAAUUGGCCUGCCCAUAAACUUGUCGUGCCAAAAGUAGAUUCCAUUCCCAUAACCAAUUAACCAUUGUGAAUUAUCUUGAACCGUCUUCCAGAAUUGAUGAACACUAGGCCAUAUAGAAAAAGGAGCAUAAGAUUUCUGUCUAGAGAAACGACUGCGAAUAAAAGCACAACCCUCAGAUUGAGCUGUAUAUAUUUCCCAGCAACGUUUCAAUAAGAGAGAUCGAUUAAGCAGAACUAAUUGUUUGAGCCCUAAGCCACCUUCUUCAAUUGGGGAACAACAAGUCUUCCAAGCCACAAGAGGGAUCCCUCUUUUAUCAAUUGAGCCAGACCACAGAAAGUUUCGGCACCAAACCUCAAUUUUCCAUACCACAGACACAGGCCAUUCAUAUACUUGAAAAGUGUAUACCAACAUGCUAAAAAUAACAGACUUGAUAAGCUGCAAAUGUCCUGCCAUUGACAAAAAAGAACUCACCCAACUUGAUAACUUUAUCCUUAUUUUGUCAACAAUUUGAUUGAAAUAAGAAGCACGAGGAUUGCCAUGAAAAAUAGGGGCACCCAUAUACAUGAACGGAGCAGACCCCAAGGGAAUACCCAAGAAGUUUGAAAUAGAAUGCCGCCUUGAAUGUAUACUUUUUCCGAAAAAAACUUGAGACUUUUCUUUGUUGAUAACUUGACCUGAAACACUACCAUAUUCAUUGAAGAAUCUCAUAAUCCGCGAUAAAUUCUGCUUAUUACCCCGACAAAAAACAAUAACAUCAUCUGCAAAUAGAACAUAAGAUGGAGCAAGAGUAUUUCGCGGAGAAGAGAUACGCUGCAGUUGACCCGAUGAAACAAGUAAAAAGAUCCCACGACUAAGGACCUCUUCUGCUAAGCAAAAGAGCAAGGGAGAAAGGGGGUCACCUUUGACGCACACCCCUUUCACAAGAAAAAUACCCAAUAGUCCUCUCAUUGAUCAACAGAGAAAGUUUGGCUGACAGAAGCAAGGCACGCACCCAUUGUACAAAGAUCAGAUCAAACCCAAAAGCAUGAAGAACAUGAAGAAGAAAAUCCCAUGACAGAGUAUCAAACGCCUUUGUAAUAUCAACCUUAAUUGCAAGGUUACCUCCAUGACAUAUUGAGUUCAACAAAUUAAAGCACUCUGAUGUAGUUAAUAUAAAGUCUGAUAUGUUCCUCCCUGCAACAAAAGCAUGUUGUUGAGGAGAAAUAAUACGUGAUGCCACAGAUGCCAACCGGAUAGCUAUGAUCUUUGGGAUAAUUUUAAACACAAAGUUGGUGAGGACAAUAUGGCGAAACUGCUUUAUAGAGUCGGCAUGAUCAACUUUGAGGAUUAACAUGAUAAUACCUGAGUUAAAGGAAGGAGCCAAAUAACCAUGUUGAAAAAAAUACUGAACACCCUUAACAACAUCAGCACCAACAACCUCCCAGCAAGAGACGAAAAAAUGGCCAUUAAAUCCAUCCGGCCCCAGGGCACUAUCAGGAUCCAUUGAUUUGACAGCUGCCCAAAUUUCCUCUUGUAAUGGAACAAUUGUAAGCGUUGUAUUUUCCUCAUGAGUUACCAUAGAAUGAAUCACCUUGGACACCAAACCACUAUCUUCAUACUCUGCAUGUUUUGUAAAAAGAUUUUUAUAAUAAUCAAUUAUAUGAUUUUGGAUAGAAUGUGGAUCCUAAAGCACCUGAUCUCCAUCACGAAGCAGAGUAAUAGAAGAACGAUUUCAACGCACUUUACACAUAGCAUGAAAAUAAUUAAGAAGAAUUGCGAUCACCUUCUGACAACCAUUGCAACCUUGACUUCUCACGCCAAAGACUUUCCUGACGCCGAAUAGACUCAUUCAAAUUAGCCUGCAAUUCAGUCUCUUUUUCAAACUCUUCAUCUGAUCCCCCAGAAGCUGCAAUUUUAUUUUGAAUAUCAGCAAGGGCUGCAAGGUCAAACUCAACCCGACGAUGAACAUCCCCAAAGACCUCCCAGUAUUUUGCCGUGUUAAGAGUAUAUAUAGGCCCAGUUCACGUCUGAGACGGUCCAGUCCAUAUUCUUGUGCUUGGAGAACAAGUCGGUUUUGCACAGCUUGCAGAUAUAUACUCCACCGUUUCCAGUACCAAGUACUAACAAGUUAAUUGAUUUCUCUUCUUGUGUAAUAACCAGAAAAUAUCAAGUACUACUUUCUUUCUCUUCUUUUCUUUGUUUUAGAGAUUAGUUUAGCUUUCUUGUUCUUCAAUUAUCAAAUCAUGCCCAUGGUAGAUUUUCAGCAUGGUAUCAGAGCCAUGGCGGCCUGACCUGUUUUCGAUGUCCUUUCCUUCCUCUGCAAUCCUCUUCUACUUGUUACUUCUGCAUAUCAGAAACCCCCAAUUUUUCUUGAUCAAAACCGUAGCAACAUACCAGUUCUUAGAAUCAAGGUGUAUAAUUACCACUUCAGCAACAUUUAAGAACUUUAAAAUCGAGGAAACUUAUGAAGAAAUUAAGAAAUCGAGGUCUAAUUUCUUCUAAUUUUUCGCCGUAUGUAAUGCUGAAUUUAAUUACUUCUUAUAGUAAGUUAUACGAUAUACUAAGGGUUAUAUAAUUUACCAUAGAAGCAGGCCCGAACCUGAGAUUUUCAGGCAUGAGUCGAACUUUCAAAAUUAGGCCCUCAAAGUAUAGUAUUUAUACAAUUUUAUUUUCUCAUUUUAAGAAACACACAAAAAAUUCACGAACUAAAGUUAUAUAUAAACCAAAAUCUAACAACAAAAAACAUCUUAUUAAAAAUCUUAUUUAUGCAACAAAUCUCUUACUUAGGCUGCUAAUUUUUCUAAAAUAGUAAUUAAUGAUUGUAAUAAUGGGUAAGAUUUUAUAUUCAUUUUUCUCUUUUGUAAUCUUUUUGUUUUUUUUAAAGAAGGGUCGGUGCGGCUCUCUUUUGUAAUCUAACACCACCAUAAUUGGAUUUAUUAAUUAUUUUUUAUUGUUUUUAACUAAACUAAUGUAAUCACACAAAGAGAAAAGAAAAUUUUGGGCUCCUUAAGGUUAUGGCCCUGAGUCCAUCAACUCUUAAGACUCUAUUCAGGUACCGGUCUACAUAGAAGGGCUUGUUUUCUGUUGCAAAGAUCUAUAGUCUAUGCUGAAUUAAGUGUAACGCCUGGGAAUAGAGGCCAGGGAGACCAUUGGCACGUGGGACGCCACUGGCUUCUGAUGCAUCUUGCUUUGAAUUCAUAUGCAUGGGAGUCAAUCACCAUUUACCAAUUGGUCAAGGAGCCCUUGAAUCCCUGAGCACUCACAUGCCCAUGCCCUUGUUCUUGUACCUACAUAGUACUCUCACCUCACCUCUUGAUCAUAGUGACGAUUAUACUUGAGCUCCAAACCCAACGUACUUGCACUUCAAUUUUUUACCCCCUUUCUUCUAUUUUUUGUUCUGUUGCGUAUAUAUAUAUAUAGCCAUAUAGGUCUAAUUUCUUCUAAGUUUCCUCGAUUUGCAUUAGUUUCUUUAAUAGAUUUCAGAUUUCUGUAUAUACGUAUCAUUUAUGAAGUAAUUAAGUUCAGCAUUACAACAGAUAUAGAAUAGAGUGUUGUGUAGAAGAUCGGAGUUUGGAAUAUCAAUGGCUUCUAGUUCAGGUUUGUUGAAUUUCCUUAAGAACUUUAGUUAGUCUAUUUCCUUAGUUGUGUUUGUUUUGUUUGAUUCUAUAGUAUCUAUUUGUCUUGUGUGUUGAGUUCCUUGUGAUCAAUGGAUUGAGGCUAAGACAUAUGACCAAUCAAGUUUAAUUGUUUAAACAACAUUUGCAGACGAUCCGACUUGUUCUCUCUCUCUCAUAGAAUGGUCAAUGUUCUUGAAAAUGUGAUGUAAAUUGAUUCAGUUUCAUACAUACAAACAUAUAUUUAUGCCAUAAGUCCAUUGAUCUAAAAAAGUGUUUUAUUCAAGCAAGUUCUUAGAGUUAUAGUUGGAUAGGAAGAUUACAGAUACAAGCGUAUAUCAGCUUAAUAGCUAAUAUUAUUGUUUGAAAAGUAGAAAGCUCGAUCAACAGAAGGAGGGUUUUAGCUAGCUAGAGUUUAAGAUUUUGCCGAAGCAAGAAAUAUUGCUCUUCGACCUUUGAAAUAGGUCAACAUUGCACUGCGAUCAGGAAGGGGCUCUUUGAUUGUGGGGAUGUCCUUGAACCGUUGAAUCCAGGCAUGCAAGCGAGGGAAGGUUUCGGCUUCAAUCCCCUUAACCCCAGCUAGUUCACUCAUGACAUCCAUCCACCAAGCUAGCCACCCGAAUUCCAAAUCAGCCAUUCCAAUCUCAUCUCCUCCGAAAAACUUCUUGUCUCCGAG
rnacentral:lncRNA from 1 species